rnacentral:rRNA from 1 species
AACGAACGCUGGCGGCAGGCUUAACACAUGCAAGUCGAGCGCCCCGCAAGGGGAGCGGCAGACGGGUGAGUAACGCGUGGGAAUCUACCCAUCUCUACGGAAUAACGCUUGGAAACGUGUGCUAAUACCGUAUACGUCCUUCGGGAGAAAGAUUUAUCGGAGAUGGAUGAGCCUGCGUUGGAUUAGCUAGUUGGUGGGGUAAAGGCCUACCAAGGCGACGAUCCAUAGCUGGUCUGAGAGGAUGAUCAGCCACACUGGGACUGAGACACGGCCCAGACUCCUACGGGAGGCAGCAGUGGGGAAUAUUGGACAAUGGGCGCAAGCCUGAUCCAGCCAUGCCGCGUGAGUGAUGAAGGCCCUAGGGUUGUAAAGCUCUUUCACCGGUGAAGAUAAUGACGGUAACCGGAGAAGAAGCCCCGGCUAACUUCGUGCCAGCAGCCGCCGUAAAAC